CCUACGGGAGGCAGCAGUCGAGAAUCAUUCACAAUGGGGGAAACCCUGAUGGGGCGACGCCGCGUGGGGGAAUGAAGGUCUUCGGAUUGUAAACCCCUGUCAUGUGGGAGCAAAUUAAAAAGAUAGUACCACAAGAGGAAGAGACGGCUAACUCUGUGCCAGCAGCCGCGGUAAUACAGAGGUCUCAAGCGUUGUUCGGAACCACUGGGCGUAAAGCGUGCGUAGGCUGUUUCGUAAGUCGUGUGUGAAAGGCGCGGGCUCAACCCGCGGACGGCACAUGAUACUGCGAGACUAGAGUAAUGGAGGGGGAACCGGAAUUCUCGGUGUAGCGGUGAAAUGCGUAGAUAUCGAGAGGAACACUCGUGGCGAAGGCGGGUUCCUGGACAUUAACUGACGCUGAGGCACGAAGGCCAGGGGAGCGAAAAGGAUUAGAUACCCGUGUAGUC
rnacentral:rRNA from 1 species